rnacentral:misc_RNA from 1 species
AUCGGAAGGUGCGGCUGGAUCACCUCCUUUCUAAGGAAAAAGUAGAGGAUUGUUUCACUGUUCAGGUAUCAACCUGAAUUAAAUAAAAAGAGGAAGAAGUGCAUUAUGAUUGCCUUCGGCAAAGGGCACUUCAGGGCAAUAAGGAAUCCUCCCAUAAAUGGGUCCCUCCUUAUUACAGUUUCCGGUGGCGAUGCGGUUAGGGGUCACACCCGUACACAUCCCGAACACGAUGGUUAAGACCUAAUCGGCCGAUGAUACUAUGCUGGAGACGGCAUGGGAAAGCAGGUGGCUGCCGGGUUUGCUAAAACAGCAAGGAAACUUGCUUUCAUAUAUAAAUCACCUCUAUAAGAGGCGAUCAUUAGGGGAGCCAAGAUAUUGACUUUUCUAAUGGUCGAAAGACCAGAUAGCAACUUGAAAACUUCAUACAGUAGAGAUAAUGAUUUUAAGAAAAUUCUUAAAUAUCAAGACAUCCGAGAAGAUUCGUGAUUUUUAAGUAAAAUGUAAAAAGUCACGAACAAGAAAACAAACCAAGAGUUCUUAUUGAACAAUUAAAAUAUCGAAGCUACAUAUUUUCGAGAUUGA